rnacentral:rRNA from 1 species
AGGCAGCAGUUGGGAAUCUUCCCCAAUGGGCGCAAGCCUGAGGGAGCGACGCCGCGUGAGGGAUGAAGGCCUUCGGGUCGUAAAGCUCUGUUGUGAGGGACGAAGGAGCGCCGUUCGAAGAGGGCGGCGCGGUGACGGUACCUCACGAGGAAGCCCCGGCUAACUACGUGCCAGCAGCCGCGGUAAUACGUAGGGGGCGAGCGUUGUCCGGAAUUAUUGGGCGUAAAGCGCGCGCAGGCGGUUCCUUAAGUCUGAUGUGAAAGCCCACGGCUCAACCGUGGAGGGUCAUUGGAAACUGGGGGACUUGAGUGCAGGAGAGGAGAGCGGAAUUCCACGUGUAGCGGUGAAAUGCGUAGAGAUGUGGAGGAACACCAGUGGCGAAGGCGGCUCUCUGGCCUGCAACUGACGCUGAGGCGCGAAAGCGUGGGGAGCAAACAGGAUUAGAUACCCUAGUAGUCC